CCUGGGGUGCCCUGAGUCAGCCUGGGGUGUCCUGUGUCAUCCUGUUGUGUCCUGGGUCAUCCUGGGGUGCCCUGAGUCAACCUGGGGUGUCCUGUGUCAUGCUGGGGUGUCCUGAGAGAGUCUGGCGUGUCCUGUGUCAGCCUGGGCUAUCCUGACAUCCUGGGGUGUCUCUUGUCAGCUGGCGGUUUCCUGACUCAGCCUGGGUUUUCCUGUGUCAGUCUGCAGAUUGCGGAGUCAUCCUGGUGUGUCUUGAGUCAGCCUGGGUUGUUUUUGUCAUCCUGGGGUGUCCUGUGUCAUCCUGUUGUGUCCUGUGUCAUACUGGGCUGCCCUGAGUCAUCCUGGGCUGUCCUGUAGCAUCCUCGGGUGUCCUGUGUCAGCCUGGUGUUUCUUGAGACAGUCUGCGGUGUCCUGAGCCACCCUAGGUGUCCAGAGUCAUCCUGGGGUGUCCUGUGUCAACAUCCGGUAUCCUGAGUCAGCCUCAUGUGUCGUGUGUCAUCCUUGGGUCUCCUGAGUCAGCCUAAGAUGUCCUGUGUAAGGCUGGGGUGUCCUGUGUCAGCCUGUUGUGUCCUGUCCCAGACUUGGGUGUCCAGUGUCAUCCUGGGGUCUCCUGAGUCAUCCUGGGGUCUCCUGGGUUAUCCUGGGGUCUCCUGGGUUAUCCUGGGGUCUCCUGAGUCAGCCGGGGGUGUCCUUUGUCAUCCUCAGGUGUGCUGAAUCAGCCAGGGGAAUCCUGAGACAUCCUUGUGUGUCCUGAGUCAUCCUGGGGUGUCCUGUUUCAGCCUGGGUUGUGCAGAGUCAUCUUGGGGUGUCCUGUGUCAGCAUGGGGUGAUCUGAUCCAUCUUCGGAUGUGCUGAGUCAUUCUGGGGUAUCAUGUGUCAUUCAGGAGUGUCCUGCAUCAGCCUGGGGAGUCCUGUGUCAUCCUGGGGUGUCCUGUGUUAGCGUGGUGUGUCUUGUGACAUCCUGGGUUGUCCUGAGUCAUGCUGGUGUCUCCUGAGUCAUCCUAGGAUUUCCUGCGUAAGACUGGGUGUCCUGUGUCAUCCUCGGUUUUCCUGUGUCUUCCCAGAGUGUCCAAUGCCAUCCUGGGAUGUCCUGAAUCAUCUUAUGUUGUCCUGACUCAGCCUGUGGUGUUCUGUGUCACUCUGGGGUGUCCUGUGUCAUCCUUGGUUGUCCUGAGUCAGCCUAAGAUGUCCUGUGUAUGCCUGGGUGUCCUGUGUCAUCCUGUUGUGUCCUGUACCAGACUUGGGUGUCCUGAGUCAUCCUGGGGUCUCCUGAGUCAUCCUGGGGUCUCCUGAGUCAUGCUGGAGUGUCCUGUGUCACUCUGGAGUGUCCAAAGUCAGCCUGGGGUGUCCUGUGUCAACCUGGGGUAUCCUGGUUCAGCCUGGGGUGUCCUGUGUCAACCUGGGGUAUCCUGUGUCAUCCUGGAGUGUUCUGUGUCAGCCAGGGAUGUCCUGUGUUAGCCUCGUGUGUCCUGAAUCAGCCUGGAUGUCCUGAGCCAUGCUGGGGUGUCUGGAGCCACCCUGGGGUGUCCUGACUCAUCCUGGGUUGUCCUGAGAAAGCCUGGGGUUUUCUGAGUCAGCCUGGAGUGUCCUGUGUCAUCCUGGGGUGUCCUGUGUCAGCCUGGUUGGUCCUGAGACAUCCUGGGGUCUCCUGAGUCAGCCAGGAGUGUCAUGUGUCUCCCUGAGAUGUCCUUAAUCAGCCUGGGGUAUCCUGUGUCAUCCUGGGAUGUCCUUAAUCAACCUGGGGUAUCCUGUGUCAUCCUGGGGUGUCUGAACCAGCC
ensembl:lncRNA